rnacentral:rRNA from 1 species
UACGGGGGGGGCAAGCGUUGUUCGGAAUUACUGGGCGUAAAGGGCUCGUAGGCGGCCAACUAAGUCGGAUGUGAAAUCCCCAGGCUCAACUUGGGAACUGCAUCCGAUACUGGAUGGCUUGAAUUCGGGAGAGGGAUGCAGAAUUCCAGGUGUAGCGGUGAAAUGCGUAGAUAUCUGGAGGAACACCGAUGGCGAAGGCAGGUCUCUGGGCAUUAACUGACGCUGAGGAGCGAAAGCAUGGGGAGCGAACAGG